AUACGUAGGGGGCGAGCGUUGUCCGGAAUGAUUGGGCGUAAAGGGCGCGUAGGCGGCGCGGUAAGUCUGGAGUGAAAGUCCUGCUUUCAAGGUGGGAAUUGCUAUGGAUACUGCCGCGCUUGAGUGCAGGAGAGGUUAUCGGAAUUCCCGGUGUAGCGGUGACAUGCGUAGAGAUCGGGAGGAACACCAGUGGCGAAGGCGGGUAACUGGACUGCAACUGACGCUGAGGCGCGAAAGUGUGGGGAGCAAACAGGAUUAGAUACCCUGGUAGUCCACACUGUAAACGAUGAAUGCUAGGUGUAAGAGGUAUCGACCCCUUUUGUGCCGGAGUCAACACAAUAAGCAUUCCGCCUGGGGAGUACGGCCGCAAGGUUGAAACUUAAAGGAAUUGGCGGGG
rnacentral:rRNA from 1 species